ensembl:lncRNA protein NKG7-like
GGACACAGUUGGAGAUUGGGAAUGCUAGCAAGGAAGAUUUCCCCCCCCCAAAAAAAAAAUCAAUUGGGCAAGUGUGAGGAAACAAAGAAGCCAUCAUUACUUUAUCAGGGAUGGGACUGAGGUUGGAAUCAUGUAAGAAUGCCAGAAUACCUGGCAUGGUAGAGGAUGCUUCUAAAAUGGCGGAUGUCAACUCUUCCCAUUGUUUGGCCGCGCAAAUCUGAUUGGUCAGAAAACGUGCGGAAGGCAGGUUCCUAAGAAGAUGAUUGGCCAGAAUUUACACCACCCAGAAGUAGGCAGGACAACCAGCUCCUAUUUCUGAAGAGGUCCCGGCGGCUUCACCUUCGCCCCUUUGUCAAAGAUGCCUCUCCAAAAUGCAGAAAGUGGGCUUUGCUGUGCUGGAAGUCUUCUGGUCCAAUUCACAUCUCUGAGCACCUCCUACUGGGUGUUGGAAUCUACCCAGAAAGGUCUUGUCCACAGUGGCCUCUGGAAGAUCUGCAUCAACCCAAACUGCACCAUGUACCAGUUUAAUUUACUGGCCCUUCAUAUCCAUGUCACCCGAGGCUUCCUCUUGAUGGCUUGUUUAUGUGGUCUCAUAUCUCUGCUGUGUGUUUGUUUCUCGUUUGAGCAUAUGGAGCUAUAUCACAUAUCCGUUCUCAAAGCUGCUGUCGUGUUGAGCUUCAGUGGAGGUCUCUUCAUCCUAAUGGGUAUGUCUGUAUUCACAGCUGUUUACAGGAACUCCCAUUCCUACACCAAUUAUUUGCUCUACUUUGGUUCUUCCUAUGGCUUGGGUUGGGCCUCUCUUCCUAUGUAUGCCAUGACUGGGAUACUGCUAAUGCUGACUCAAAAAACCAUGGUCUCUGAACUCUGGGUACCCCCUCUUCCAUAACAGCUUGAAGAACUCCCAGGGGUUGACUAACUGACUUCAUGUCGUGGAAGACCAGCAAUGGACCUUAUAACUGGGCAAAGCAUAGCUUUAUCAGGAUGGUGGCAGCCGACAGGAUACGGCAUGCCUGUAUCAGUUCAGAUAAAAUGACCAGACGGACAGGCAUCAGGGUUACUCCGAUACUCUCCGCGUGUUUGCCAUUUGGAACGGACCAGCAUCAUUUACCAUGGUGUGCCAAAUUAGGCAAGUUAUGGUUUGACAACAUGCAAGUUGUGUCUAGACCAGAGCUGGAAACCAGAACUCAUUUGGAGGUAAACCACUUUGUACAAGGAAUGAUUUCCCUGCUUUCGCUCUCCUCAGACAAACUAUAGUUUUCUUGAACCAGGAAGUUAGAUCAAAAUGGGAAGGAAACAUAUGACCUUGGUUUUGUUUGCGAUGCUCACUCAUCUAUUGGUGAUUGGAAAGCAGCAGUAAUUCACACAACCAGCUGUUGUUCUGCCCUUGGGCCCAUCAAAAUUGCUCACUGGUCUUCGUUUAUACAGCAGAUGAAUUGAAUAAUGCAUUAGUCAAAGGAGCAGUGGUCAUGUGUACAACUAACAACACACAGAAGACAUGAGGAAUGUUAAGCCUGGUGGUCCUUGUUCUUGUAUCAGGAGGGAUGUGGGUGUGUUGAAAAUGCAUGUGUUUGGUUAUCAGUGAAUGCAUGUGUUUGGUUAUCAGUUUAUAUCUGAAUCUCCGGCUGAGUGAUCAUACAGCGUAUGUACACAUCUAAUCUUGUUUGAUAGCUAACACAAGCACCACUAACCAGUCCUUCCAUAGCUGAACAUCCCACCUCUCUAAUUACUCACCCAGCCACCCUCACUAAUGUUGUAGCCUCGAGAUCUUUUAAG